UACGUAGGGUGCGAGCGUUAAUCGGAAUUACUGGGCGUAAAGCGUGCGCAGGCGGUUUUGUAAGCCAGAUGUGAAAGCCCCGGGCUUAACCUGGGAAUGGCAUUUGGGACUGCAAGGCUUGAGUGUGGCAGAGGAGACUGGAAUUCCUGGUGUAGCAGUGAAAUGCGUAGAUAUCAGGAGGAAUACCGAUGGCGAAGGCAGGUCUCUGGGCUAACACUGACGCUCAUGCACGAAAGCGUGGGGAGCAAACAGG
rnacentral:rRNA from 1 species